GACAGAGGGUGCAAACGUUGUUCGGAAUUACUGGGCGUAAAGCGCGUGUAGGCGGCCAUCUAAGUCGGGCGUGAAAUCCCACGGCUCAACCGUGGAAGUGCACUCGAAACUGGAUGGCUAGAGUCCUGGAGAGGAAGGUGGAAUGCUUGGUGUAGAGGUGAAAUUCGUAGAUAUCAAGCGGAACACCGGUGGCGAAGGCGGCCUUCUGGACAGUGACUGACGCCGAGACGCGAAAGCGUGGGGAGCAAACAGG
rnacentral:rRNA from 1 species